CCUCACUGCUAUCGGGGUGAGACUUAACCAUGCAAGUCUAUGCCCACACCCAUCUGUGGGCAUGGCGUACAGCUCAGUAACACGUAGCCAACCUGCCCCAAGGAGAGGGAAACCCCCUGGGAAACCAUGCUCGAUCGAUCGAUCUGACGUGGCCCAAAACUGGGGAUAAACCCUCAUAGGUGACGGGAUCUGGAAUGACCCAUCACCCAAAGUGACCUGGGAAGAUGGUUCUCAGGCCAGCCUUGGGAUGGGGCUGCGGCCGAUCAGGCUGUUGGUGAGGUAACGGCUCACCAAACCUAUAACCGGUACGGGCCGUGAGAGCGGUAGCCCGGAGAUGGACUCUGAGACAAUAGUCCAGGCCCUACAGGGCGCAGCAGGUGCGAAAACUCCGCAAUGCGCGCAAGCGCGACGGGGUCACCCCGAGUGCCGCCUUUUAGGUGGCUUUUACUCAGUGUAAAGAGCUGGAUGAAUAAAGGGGGGGCAAGACGGGUGUCAGCCGCCGCGGUAAUACCCGCUCCCUGAGUGGUGAGGGCUUUUAUUGGGCUUAAAGCGUCCGUAGCCGGCUUGGUGUGUCUCUCGUUAAAUCCGACGUCUCGAGCGUCGACCCGCGAGAGAUACUGCCAGGCUUGAGGGUGGAAGAGGUCGACGGUAUCUCCGAGGUAGGGGUAAAAUCCACUGAUCUCGGGGAGACCACCAGUGGCGAAGGCGGUCGGCCAGGACACGCCUGACGGUGAGGGACGAAAGCUGGGGGAGCGAACUGGAUUAGAUACCCAGGUAGUCCCAGCUGUAAACGAUGCAGACUUGGUGUGAGGGUAGCUACGGGCUACCCUCGUGCCGAAGGAAAACCAUUAAGUCUGCCGCCUGGGGAGUACGGCCGCAAGGCUGAAACUUAAAGGAAUUGGCGGGGGAGCACCACAAGGCGUGGACGNUGCGGCUC
rnacentral:rRNA from 1 species